UUUCCAUCUUCUUCAUACUCAAACCAGAGACAUAUAGAACCUCCGUUUUCUUUCUUAAACAUUCCAAAAAAACAGACUGAUAUUAAAAAAAAAUAUUUUUUUCUUUCAAACCAAAAUAUUUCAAUUGAAAUACAUAUUUCUGUAUUUUAAUUGAAAUAAUUUGAAUUCAAUAAUAAAAAAAAAGCAAAAAAGAUAUAUUGAUGCAUUAUGGAUGAUGCUUGUUUACAUUCAAUUAUGAUACAAUACGGAGGAAGAUGGGACGCAAGAGAAAUUUGACUACCUAUUGGGAAGUACGAAGCUUUACAAAUCUAACUCCCAAGCAAAAGAUACAAGCCCAAAACAUAGCCUUCAAACCAGCGAAGAAGUACCAAGCUUACGAUAAGAAGUGCCACAAAAGGUGUGGAGACGACGUAGAAGCUAUGAUAUAAGAGAACCAAUAAGGAUGGAAGCAAAAGAGUUGAAAUCUGAAGUAAUUCAAAGAGAACUGUGGCUGACGAUAUUUCUGUUAAGUCGUCAGCCCUGUGAUUAGUUAUCAGCUUCAUCUUCAGCCUCAGACAGAGAAUGCACCUGAGUUGAGAGUUGUGAUGAUAUUUUGUGAUAAGCCGUCAAGGAACUGAUAGGUCGUCAAAAUUGCCGUCAGCCUAAGGCAGAACAUGAGAGCUAAGGUAGAGACUUGACGAUAUUCGUGAUAAGUCAUCAAGAAGUUGAUAGGACGUCACAGUUUGUCUUCAGCCUAAAGCAGCGAGUAUCAAAAGCAAAGAGGAGCUGACGACAUUUGUGAUAAGUCGUCAGCCUCCUGAUAGGUUGUCACGAAUGUCGUCACC